rnacentral:rRNA from 1 species
GAAUGGCUCAUUAAAUCAGUUAUCGUUUAUUUGAUAGUGCCCAACCACAUGGAUAACCGUGGUAAUUCUAGAGCUAAUACAUGCGUCGAACCGCGACUUCGGGAGCGGUGUAUUUAUUAGAUUAAAGACCAACGCCCUUCGGGGCUGUCCGGUGAUUCAUAAUAACUCCUCUGAUCGCACGGCCUUGCGCUGGCGACGGCUCAUUCAAAUUUCUGCCCUAUCAACUUUCGACUUUAGUGUAGUGGACUAAAGUGGUUGCAACGGGUAACGGAGGGUUAGGGCUCGACCCCGGAGAAGGAGCCUGAGAAACGGCUACUACAUCCAAGGAAGGCAGCAGGCGCGCAAAUUACCCAAUCCCGACACGGGGAGGUAGUGACAAUAAAUACUGAUACAGGGCUCUUUCGGGUCUUGUAAUCGGAAUGAGUACAAUUUAAAUCCCUUAACGAGGAACAAUUGGAGGGCAAGUCUGGUGCCAGCAGCCGCGGUAAUUCCAGCUCCAAUAGCGUAUAUUAAAGUUGUUGUGGUUAAAAAGCUCGUAGUUGAACCUGGGCCCGCGCCCGCCGGUCCGCCUCACCGCGUGCACUGGUGUGGCCGGGGCUUCCACCUGGGGGUACGCAUGCCCUUCGCUGGGCGUGCGGGGAGCCAGGACCUUUACUGUGAAAAAAUUAGAGUGUUCAAAGCAGGCCUAUGCUCGAAUACAUUAGCAUGGAAUAAUAGAAUAGGACGUGCGGUUCUAUUUUGUUGGUUAUGGGACCGCCGUAAUGAUUAAUAGGGACAGUCGGGGGCGUCAGUAUUCGGUGGUCAGAGGUGAAAUUCUUGGACCCACCGAAGACUAACUACUGCGAAAGCAUUCGCCAAGGAUGUUUUCAUUAAUCAGGAACGAAAGUUAGGGGAUCGAAAACGAUCAGAUACCGUCGUAGUCUUAACCAUAAACUAUGCCGACUAGGGAUCGGGCGAUGUUGCUUUCUGACUCGCUCGGCACCUUUCGA